UCGGACGAAGUGCACUUAUUUACGU
rnacentral:miRNA from 1 species